rnacentral:pre_miRNA from 1 species
AUGGCGGACAAAGGGUUUGACAUUCAAAGAGUCUUGCCUGACGGUCUCGCUAUUA